UACGUAGGGUGCGAGCGUUAAUCGGAAUUACUGGGCGUAAAGCGUGCGCAGGCGGUUUUGUAAGGCAGGUGUGAAAUCCCCGGGCUUAACCUGGGAACUGCGCUUGUGACUGCAAGACUCGAGUACGGCAGAGGGGGGUGGAAUUCCACGUGUAGCAGUGAAAUGCGUAGAGAUGUGGAGGAACACCGAUGGCGAAGGCAGCCCCCUGGGUCGAUACUGACGCUCAUGCACGAAAGCGUGGGGAGCAAACAGG
rnacentral:rRNA from 1 species